GAUGAACGCUAGCGGCAGGCUUAACACAUGCAAGUCGAGGGGUAGAGGAAGCUUGCUUCCUUGAGACCGGCGCACGGGUGCGUAACGCGUAUGCAACCUACCUUUUACAGAGGGAUAGCCCAGAGAAAUUUGGAUUAAUACCUCAUGGUAUAUAUCAUUCGCAUGUUUGAUAUAUUAAAGUUCCAACGGUACAAGAUGAGCAUGCGUCCCAUUAGUUAGUUGGUAAGGUAACGGCUUACCAAGACAAUGAUGGGUAGGGGUCCUGAGAGGGAGACCCCCCACACUGGUACUGAGACACGGACCAGACUCCUACGGGAGGCAGCAGUGAGGAAUAUUGGUCAAUGGGCGCAAGCCUGAACCAGCCAUGCCGCGUGCAGGAAGACGGUCCUAUGGUGUGUAAACUGCUUUUGUACGGGAAGAAACACUCCUUCGUGAAGGAGCGUUGACGGUACCGUAAGAAUAAGGAUCGGCUAACUCCGUGCCCA
rnacentral:rRNA from 1 species